rnacentral:rRNA from 1 species
AAAUUGAAGAGUUUGAUCAUGGCUCAGAUUGAACGCUGGCGGCAGGCCUAACACAUGCAAGUCGAACGGUAACAGGAAGCAGCUUGCUGUUUCGCUGACGAGUGGCGGACGG